AUACGGAGGAUCCGAGCGUUAUCCGGAUUUAUUGGGUUUAAAGGGUGCGCUGGCGGGAAGUUAAGUCGGCGGUGAAAUUUUGCAGCUCAACUGUAAAAGUGCCUUCGAAACUGGUUUUCUUGAGUGUAGAUGAAGUAGGCGGAAUUUGUGGUGUAGCGGUGAAAUGCUUAGAUAUCACGAGGAACUCCGAUUGCGUAGGCAGCUUACUAAACGACUACUGACGCUCAUGCACGAAGGCGUGGGGAUCAAACAGGAUUAGAUACCCUGGUAGUCCACGCAGUAAACGAUGAUUACUAGUUGUUUGCGAUAUACAGUAAGCGACUGAGCGAAAGCGUUAAGUAAUCCACCUGGGGAGUACGUUCGCAAGAAUGAAACUCAAAGGAAUUGACGGGG
rnacentral:rRNA from 1 species